UUGGGCUUCUUGUCAGGGAACCCAAGUCUCCUCUCUCUUUAAGCUGCGACCGGCUCCACGCAGGACGUGGAGCGCUGUCGCGGACAUACCCCGACAAGUAGUGACCCCAACGUGAUCAAAGUCCGACGUGACAGAAGUGCGAGUCUACACAACGGAGCUGCAACUGCAGAAGGAGGAAAAAUAGAGCGCGCCAGGAGACUCAAGGAUCCCACCAGGACGGUACGGGACAGUGGACCUAUAUUAGACUCCACUGGUGCGGGAAUAACUCAAUAGAGAGGACAUGGGGAAUACUCUCCAGCCAGAGCAGAAGCAACAUAUUCAGUUUCUGCAAUGUGGAGUGCCAUCCUAAGAUCUCUCGACUCCACAUUUUUUGAAAACUUCUGAAGCAGGAACUCCUCUAGAAGAGAAGCAGGAGUGGUCAACAUCUUCCAUGUUCACAGGGUCAACAAAGGAAACUGCUGUUUUCCAGAUGGAGUACACAACCUAUUCUUAAGCCAUUCUCCCACAUGAUUUGGACCAGCUAAAUAAUGAUGUAGGGAUAUGACUGAAGCAAUGGUUUGAAAGACACGUGACACUAAUAACAAUUC
rnacentral:lncRNA from 1 species